rnacentral:misc_RNA from 1 species
AACCUUAUGGACCUGCGGGCGUAUACCUGCGGAGGGAUCAUUAAAGAGUUUUGUGGGUGAGGUUGGUCAUAUUGGAUUAGUAUCGUGUAUAUUAUAUAUGCACGGUAUUAUUCAAUAUAUAUGACCAACAACCUAUGCGUAUGUUGUGUUUGACUGUGUUAAUGGUGUCAAAAGAGAUAGAGAUAACUUUCAGCAACGGAUCU